UCCGUAAGAUCAACAAAGUUAAGCAACGUAGAGCCUGGUCAGUACUUAGAUAGGUGACUGCUUGGAAAUACCUGGUGCUGUAA